AUUUGUUAGGAACUCAACGACUUCCAAGGCUGGUAGGGACACCAAAGGCUAUUGAAAUGAUGUUGACAUCAAAGUUUAUCAUGUCUGAAGAAGGGAACAAGCUUGGUCUUAUUGAUGCCAUUGUAUCUAAAGAGGAGUUGCUGACAGUAGCAAGGCUCUGGGCUUUAGACAUUGCUGAGAGACGUAAACCUUGGAUAUCUUCUCUUCAAAGGACUGAUAAGCUUGUUUUUUUGGCUGAAUCACGUAAAGUAAUUCAAGCUGCAAGAGAACAGGCUAAGAGGACUGCUCCAAAUAUGCCUCAGCACCAAGCGUUCCUUGAUGCUGUUGAAGAGAGAAUUAUUUUUGGAGGAUAUUCUGGUGUCCUUAAGACACAAUUCUUGCACAAGGGGAUAAAAAUAAAAGAACUAUGAGAAAGUAUGAAGACAGCCAAUAAGUAUAUUAUGAUUUGCAAGGGGCUAAUAUAGGAGUUUUGUCGGUAGGCAUGUGGAAAGUGUCUGGAAAUUUGAGUUCCUUGACCAAGAGUCAUUGUCUUGGAUGAACAAGAAAAAUUCAUGGCUAUUUUGGUGGACACUCUACCUUACUGCGGUUGCAGGGAUCUUCCUUGGGAUAUUUUCAGUUAUAAGAUUCCAACCAGAUUAUGUUCUUGUUGUCUGAGUUUGUUUGACCUUAAGCAUUGCUGAUAUUGUUGGCUUCACCAAGUGCCCCAAAGUUUAUGCUGAGGAGGAGAACUUUUAGAUUGAAUAAUACUAUUUGGGAAGUAAUUAGGUGUUGAAGUGUUUUCACGGAUCAGAGUCUGGUGCAGUUGUUUAAUGGUGCAACAAGUAUGAAUGGUGAGAGCCUGAGAGGACUGGUAUCACACCGUAAAAGAAUUAUUGUCAUUCAAUCAAGGUGCAGACCCUGUUGUUGUUGCAAGCCAUGGAAAGGUGACAACUUACCCUAUUAUUCCUCUACCAAUGGGGUUAUUAUGUUUAUAAUCUUUAUUACAGAGAACUUGUAUUCCAUUAGAACAAAAGAACUCAUUUAGUCUUUCAAAUAAAUUUACUUAACAAAAUUUGUAUUCCCUUGGAACUUGGGAAUUCUCCUGGAUAUGGAUUGAUUGAAUAUAUAUUUAGAAAGAAUAGAAAAAGUUAUUGUUGAAUGUGUCUA